rnacentral:rRNA from 1 species
UACAGAGGGUGCGAGCGUUGUCCGGAAUCACUGGGCGUAAAGGGCGCGUAGGUGGCUUGGUAAGCGUGUGGUGAAAGCCUGGGGCUCAACCCCAGGUCUGCCGUGCGAACUGCCAAGCUUGAGCAUAGUAGAGGCAGGUGGAAUUUCCGGUGUAGCGGUGAAAUGCGUAGAUAUCGGAAGGAACAUCAGUGGCGAAAGCGGCUUCCUGGACCAGCACCGACGUUCAGGCACGAAAGCGUGGGGAGCAAACAGG